rnacentral:rRNA from 1 species
UACGUAGGGAGCGAGCGUUAUCCGGAAUUAUUGGGCGUAAAGGGUGCGUAGAUGGUUGAUAUAAGUCUUUUGUAAAAAUGCUAGGCUCAACCUAGUAGGGCAAAAGAUACUGAUGAACUAGAGUACGGCAGAGGCAAGUGGAACUACAUGUGUAGCGGUGAAAUGCGUAGAUAUUAGGAAGAACACCAGUGGCGAAGGCGGCUUUCUGGACUGAAACUGACGCUGAGGCACGAAAGCGUGGGUAUCGAACAGG